CAGAGCCUCCUCCUUUAUUCCCAUGUUUAUUCCAUGCAUAUAUUUCUUUAAACUGAACAUCAUCGCCUUUAAUCACGCCAUCCUCUCUUCUAUAUGGAAAUCUCAAUACUGUAGGAAGGAAAUCCAGUGUUAUUAAAUGGGAAAGAACACUGUGGACAACCACACUGUUGUCUGAGGACACGUGCCACCUGUCCAGCUAGCAACCUGAGUUUCCAUCACCCAUGUCCACAGGUGGAAGGAAAGAUCCAAUUCUCUCAAGUUUCCCUCUGACCCCCACAUAAGUGAGUCCCAUGGUGCACACCACCCCCCACCCACACACACACAAAUAAAUAUGAUAAACACCACAGUAUCCCACUGCUUCUUCUCAACAUACUGUAAAAAUAAACACAGAAAAUAGUAAGUGAGAGCACAGGAAAGCUGGUGGAAUUUAAUUAUGAGAAGAAAAAUACUAUUUGGCUUCAAAGGGAGCAGCCACUUGCAGAAAGACUCCAUCCAUGACCACCAUCUUGCCUAGUGUGUGGAGACACACAUAGGUGCCCAAUGUAGGGCUCUGGGAACAGCUCCAUGUUGUGCUUCCUCUCUUGGUAAUAAUGUCUUGAUGUCUACAGUGACAGCCUUGAGACCAGAGAAGAAUUAGAAGUGGAUGUCUUGAAAGAAGACAUAACCCUAGAUGAGUCCCGGAACCCUCCUAGCAGCAGCGAAGAGAGUACAGGCAGCUGGUCCCAGCUGGCCAAUGAGGAGGACAACCCAGAUGACACAAGUAGCUUUCUGCAGCUCAGUGAGCGGUCCAUGAGUGAAUUAGUAGAAGAAAAGGAGAUUCUUAAAGAACAAUCAGAAAGCGUAAAGGAACGUGCCUCUGGACUGCCAGGGAGAGCAGCCAGCCCCCAGAGGAGUCUACUGGUGAUCAACUUUGACCUGGAGCCAGAGUGUCCUGAUGCUGAGCUGCGAGCCACUCUGCAGUGGAUAGCUGCCUCCGAGCUGGGCAUCCCAACAAUCUACUUUAAGAAAUCUCAGGAAAGCAGAAUU
rnacentral:lncRNA from 1 species